AUCAAGAAUGACUACACGUGUCUCUGGUUGGCAAGAUGCUACAUCAUGAAUUGUAAGGCCAGACUAGCCUGGGAGUUGUACCUUAAGAUGGAGACGUCUGGCGAAUCGUUCAGCCUGCUGUAGCUCAUUGCCAACGACGGCUACAAGAUGGGCCAGUUCUUCUAUACAGCCAAGGCUUUCGAUGUCCUGGAAAGAUUGGAUCCCAAUCCUGAAUACUGGGAAGGCAAGCGAGGGGCGUGCGUGGGCGUAUUCCAGCAGAUCAUAGCUGGCCAUGAACCAAGAGAAACACUGCGAGACAUCCUCCAAAUCUUGCGCAACACC
rnacentral:lncRNA from 1 species